rnacentral:tRNA from 1 species
GUGGGCAUAGUUUUAAAGAAAAUAUUAGAUUGUGGUUCUAAAGACAGAGGUUGAACCCCUCUUGCCCGCC